AGCAGCCGCGGUAAUUCCAGCUCCAAUAGCGUAUAUUAAAGUUGUUGCAGUUAAAAAGCUCGUAGUUGAAUUUCGGGAUUGACACAUCGGUCGUGCCUUAAGGGGUAUGAACUGGUGUAGUCAAUUUCUCACCUUCUGGAGAACCGCGAUGCCCUUAAUUGGGUGUCGCGGGGAACCAGGACCUUUACUUUGAAAAAAUUAGAGUGUUUAAAGCAGGCAUUUUGCUUGAAUACAUUAGCAUGGAAUAAUAAAAUAGGACGGCAUGAUUCUAUUUUGUUGGUUUCUAGGAUCACCGUAAUGAUUAAUAGGGAUAGUUGGGGGCAUUAGUAUUCAAUUGUCAGAGGUGAAAUUCUUGGAUUUAUUGAAGACUAACUACUGCGAAAGCAUUUGCCAAGGAUGUUUUCAUUAAUCAAGAACGAAAGUUAGGGGAUCGAAGACGAUCAGAUACCGUCGUAGUCUUAACCAUAAACUAUGCCGACUAGGAAUCAGACGAUGUUAAUUCUUUAAUGACUCGUUUGGC
rnacentral:rRNA from 1 species